GUAUUACGUCAUUUACGCGGGAACUCUGCGCGCGAAGGAUUCAUUCACCCAAAGCACAGCAAGCGUGCAGCAUCUUAUGGUUUGCAAAUAUAAGUAUAUAUUUAGAAAUUUCGUUGCCAUCAAUUUAAUGGACGAAUUUUAAUUGAUUUGUUUGGUUUUGUGAUUGAAGGGGGCUGAGGAUGCGUUUAUGGAAUACAUUUUAUUCAACGCGUUCUGGUUGUUACGCUUUGUAUAUAAUUUAUUUGAAAAGCAGAAAGAAAACGGAUGACAACUGAUGCAUGAUGGGACGUUCUUUUGCGUUUACUUGAAGUUCCCAGGUCCACUUGGAUUCGACGUGCGCUAGAAGCAGUCUGCCGAUUCCUCAUGUGUGGCUGUGGAGAGUCAGGGGAAGAUCGAGUUAAUCUUCCUGUGCAGGAAACAACACAGGCCUUGGAAACACCUAUAAACCAGAGUUCUGUAAGGGUCUGGUAUUGAAAAUGUUUUUCCUGACCCAUCACCCUGCUGACCACCAGCGAACCAUUGCACAACGGUGAAACAGUUAUAAGUUGUGUUGUCCAGGUUGCAAUGCAGAGGAAAUCUGACUCAUCCUAGUACAUGUGCCUUCUUACUGUUACACCUCCCCAAACUCUAAUAACCUGAGGGACCUUCCAACACUAACAAAACUGGAAGAAUUAUGAGUCAUCAAAACUUGAAUCUAUGGUUGUCAUUUUCUUUUUGUUUACAUGUGAGUAUAGCAUGUUAAAUUAACUACUAAAUGAAAAAUACCUUCAGCUGUGUGAGCUUUUAAAAUCAUGUCCUAUGAUUAUUAACAAAAAUGCCAAAAUGCUCCUGUCUGUUAGUUUUCAUACCACUGUAUAGAGGAUCACACAUCACAAGUGGGACAAUUUGGCGGGGGAAGAAUGCUUUCAGUAUAUUGAGAGCUUAAAACAUGGUCCUCUUAAUAUAUUUGGCAAUUUUUCAUAUAUUUGAUGUAAAUAUAUGGUCUAUUUGAAAUACAUUGUAAAUACAUUCAAUCCAGUUAUGACUAUAUUUAUUGUAAUUUAAUGGUUAAUUCCUAUUUGUUUCUUUCAGUUUAAUUUUAUGUUCUCUAUUUUCAUCAUUGUAAAUUAAGCUUCUGCUUUCUGAAGGCCUCAUUUAUCCGUCCUUUAGUGUGUAAAUAUUUUCGUAGGCCAAACUAAACAAAAAUUCCCACCAGAUUAAUAAAUGCUGAUUUUUUUUUUUUCUUUUUUUUUUCUAAUAUGCAUAUCUUGAUAAAUACUGCCAAUUGCAUUUAACACAGAGUUGAUAUACAUUUAGGGAAACAAAACUCCAUAAAAAGAAAAAGCUAACAGAAAAAUGACCACUAAGUGCUGAAAAGGUCUCCUAAACACUCCUAGGAAACAAACGGUUUUCUAAAAAUGUUUUUAAGAAUACUAAACAUUUUUGUGUAAUAGCUCUGUAAUUUAAAAACAAAUUUGUUUUUACCCAGCUUGAUUUUAUUUUUUUUAAAUGUACAGUCAUGAAUUUUUGAAACACAUAAUGUAUGCAAAGUUAAUUUUGUGUAAUUGUGAUUUAUUAAUAAAACAACUUUUUAUAUGUUACUGGAGCAGUGUGUUCUAUAGAAACCAUAACUUGCAUUAAAAACAUACUCUACUGUUCAGGAACGUCCCACAAUUUA